AUUUCUACUCUCUUCAACCUCAACCUUCUGGAUUCCGUCACUCUCACCGGAUUGACUUCAAUGUCCUUGGAACCUCCACUACUACUACUACUACUCCACUCAUCAAAGAAUCCGCUGGAUUAUCAGACGCUCCUCUUCCUUUCCUUUCUAAUCCUUGUCUCUCUUUCAACUCCAGCGGUUUUCAUCAUUAUUCAUUUGGUGGCUAAAUAUUACUCAUGGGACGUUUCUAGAGAAUGCAAGACCAUGUUUGAGUGAGAAAUUGGUCUCAAUGAAAUUGAGAGUUCAAUGAACAGCACAUACAAUGCAAGUAAAUCUACCUACUCAAACCCAUCUUCUAUUUCUAAAGCAGAAGGGCUUUCGGUGGCUGAACCAAGUUACAGAAGAGCAACUGAAAGCUUAUGAUCAGCUCUAAACCAAUUUUCCAGCACAAAGCCAGAGUGGAUCCCAAGUACAACGGGAAGGUUGUUAAAAUCGAAUCUCUUAUGUCUUAUUUCAUAACUAUUUAGUUUUGAUCUUAACUACAACAAUUUUCAUUUUUUUCUAGGUGAACAUUGUAUGUGCUUAGAAAUUAAGUGUUUUGAAAAUUAGAGGUGAGCAAUCACACUUAGAAACUAAGUGUAGAACCAUAGAAAUGUUACCCCAUCGGUUCUAGCAACGCCUAGUUACCGCAUUUCAUAACAAAGAAAGAAAAGAGGCUCGUAAAUGCAGACCA